rnacentral:rRNA from 1 species
GACGUAGGGUGCAAGCGUUGUCCGGAUUUACUGGGCGUAAAGAGCGCGUAGGCGGCUCGUUAAGUGUGAAGCUAAAUCUCUUGGCUCAACCAAGAACUAUUUCGCUAUACUGGCGGGCUGGAGUGAUGCAGAGGUGGAUAGAAUUCCGGUCGUAGCGGUGAAAUGACGUUGAUAUCAGGAGGAACACCGAUGGCGAAGGCAGGUCUCUGGGCAUUAACUGACGCUGAGG